rnacentral:lncRNA from 1 species
AUUCAGAACUUAAAAGAACUUCUAGCCAUCUUGGCAGUGACAUUUGAUUGAUAAAACUUGAAAAGUGAGCUCUUAAUAACUAAGUAUUUAAUGAUAAUACUAUAAUUGAGUCAAGUGAUAUCCUGAAAUAUUUGUAUGUACUAACCAUUGUUCAAAAGAGGUAUGCUAGUUAUAGACAUACUUUAGUAUACUAUCUACAACUUAAAGCAGUAGUUGUGGGAUUCUGUUGUACUAAUUCAGUGGGACAUUAAUCUUUAAGGAUAAUUUGUACCUUAAACAGUCCAAGUAAAAAAUUUGUUUCCAUGGGGGAAAAAAUGAACCUUAAGUACAAAAAGGAAGACAAUUUGAUAGGAAAUUGGUAAUUUGGAAAAAAUGGCAAAAAAGGUGUAAAGGGGGAAAAAAACCAAGUGUCAGUAUUCAACACUAGGUACAUCAGGUGCAGAUUUUUUUAUUAUCAGUUGAAAACACUUAAGAUUUUUUAUAAAUACAAUUAUCUUAACACUCUUCAGACCUUAUGACCGAUACGACUAUUUCUAAUUUCAUACAAAAUUUCCAUAGGCUAUAUACCAUAUAAUGAAAGAAUUAGACAAAUAGAGUAAACAUAUUUUAAGUAUUCCAAGCAAGAAAAGAUUUGAAAAAGUGUAUGUUUCUCAAAAGGUAAAAAAUAUGUGAAUACAGAGAAAAUGCUCUGAAGUAUUUACUUUGCAUCUCUAACUCCUGGGUAAGAUUCUCAAAGAUCUUAAAAGUGUCAAUGAUACUUAAGGUUUAUAUUUCAUGUUGCAGACAUAGCUAAGUGGAAGAGUAAAUGCUUAGCAUGGGUGAGACCUUGGCUUGAUCUACUAGCAACACCCACUCCACCCACCCCAGAUAAAAAGGAAUUAAAGAAUUGAACUGUCCUUUUAAUGUCAAAGCUAAUGGUAGAAAGGUAAUUUCUUCCUAGACAAUAUAAAGUCUAUUAUAUAGACUUGUUUAAAAUCUUUAAAAGGUGGGUUAUAGAACAAAAUUUUAAAAGAUAGUUUUCCUUCUAAUGGAUAUGUUUUAUUCUGAAUGAUUCUUUGAAUGCAGUUUCAGCAAAACUAGAAAGCUCAAAUGACUUCAAAGAAAUGUUGAAACAACUCAACAUGUAUGAAAUUGUUUUAUAAAUUUCUCUGUAUAAAUGCCUAUUUUUAAAAUUAAAAACAGUUCAAGUUUAGAAAUGAAUGUGAAAUCAAGCUUCAGGAUAUUUACUGAACAUUAACAAUGGAAAAGAUACAUAGGAAAUUCAUAUUUGAAGACAGAUAUGAAGUACUUAAAUCAUAAAUAACUUCAGCUGUGUUCGUGAUACUGCUCUUAAUUAUUACUAGGGGCAUUUGUCAUUUAAGUAUAGACUAGGCAACUAAAUGGUAUCUUGAUGAACUUGCAGAAAUGAAAUACUCAUAAAUCUAUGUAUUAAAACCAAUAUUUAGAAAUCUUUUCAGGUGUUUUAUUUUAGCAUUUAUAAUUUAUUCCAAGACAUGAGCUUAAGUUCUUUUAAUAAACUAUAUAGUAGAUUAUCUUAUAAUUGGCAA